GAUGAACGCUGGCGGCGUGCCUAAUACAUGCGAGUCGAGCGAACGGACGAGAAGCUUGCUUCUCUGAUGUUAGCGGCGGACGGGUGAGUAACACGUGGAUAACCUACCUAUAAGACUGGGAUAACUUCGGGAAACCGGAGCUAAUACCGGAUAAUAUUUUGAACCGCAUGGUUCAAAAGUGAAAGACGGUCUUGCUGUCACUUAUAGAUGGAUCCGCGCUGCAUUAGCUAGUUGGUAAGGUAACGGCUUACCAAGGCAACGAUGCAUAGCCGACCUGAGAGGGUGAUCGGCCACACUGGAACUGAGACACGGUCCAGACUCCUACGGGAGGCAGCAGUAGGGAAUCUUCCGCAAUGGGCGAAAGCAUGACGGAGCAACGCCGCGUGAGUGAUGAAGGUCUUCGGAUCGUAAAACUCUGUUAUUAGGGAAGAACAUAUGUGUAAGUAACUGUGCACAUCUUGACGGUACCUAAUCAGAAAGCCACGGCUAACUACGUG
rnacentral:rRNA from 1 species